ensembl:lncRNA
AAGCCAAGGAUGUAUGCUGCAAUUGGGGUGCUGACAGAUCACUGGAGGCAAAGAGAUGUUGAGCAAGGAGGAGAAAUGUGCAUUUAAGAGAUCCCAUGCCAUAAUGGAGGCAGUGGAACCUGGCUUGGAUGCAAUAUCCCUUCGGAGUGCACUGCUGCUGUGAGGGAGCUGCUGGGCAGGGUGCAGCCAAUGUUUCAAUGAGAAAUUCUUUAUCACCUUUAAAUGGACUUAUCUCAAUCCCCGCAGACAUAUUGGCUGUGCUCACACCGAGCGUCAGUGAGACAUCUGGCUGCCUGGUGGUGGAGGGGACAGGCACAAGGACAGUCUGGAUGCCAUUACGGGGAGAGCUACUCUUUUGGAGCUGUCUUUGACUUGUCCUUCAGUUGGCCACGGUGGGUGGAACCGUCAGGAGGCGCAGGGAAGGCACAGGGAACUUCACAUCCUGGCCUCUGCCUCUGCGAAGGAAGACCCACAUCCUCAAUCUCAGCUGUACUCUUCCAAGGAAUGAAAUCUAGUUGGUUUGAUGCGAUUUGUCUCCUGUGUGUAACUGCAGAGCUUGGCAGAACCCGGGCAGAUAUUUCUGGUGGGAUGCAACAUGAUGGUGACUCUUCUCCUGCCCAGCCCAACUGUGACAGGGAGCUGCUGCAACUAAUAAGUUGAUCCCACCUGGUGCAGAGAGCGCAGUGCCUCGCAGGGACAUCACCAUCCUGCUGAGUCCUGCAGUGAGCAGAGCUGGCAGCUGGAACUGGAGUGCGAUUUGGAGUGUGUUUGGGUUCCCUUGCCACUGUCAAGAAUUACCCUGAAGAGUACUUAAAUAUCUCUCUUAAUGAUUGCAUUAAGUUUCAUGCCACCGAUAUUCCUGGCAGUUCCUCUGCCAGCUAAAGUGCUAAAUAUCCUGAUUUUAUCGUGCAUACCUAUGGAUUACAAAUAGAUCUUAUUAACUGCUCAGAACUGACACAUCUAUUUGAAUAAAGGGGCUCAUUUCUUUGCAGGCAGUAGAACAAUCUUCCUGUUAUGCUAAUAAAUAUGGGUAUUUG